UGACAUUUCAUGUGCCUUAAUGGCAAACUUUUAUGCAAUCUGUAAAUUACGAGCUUAGUUGAUUUAGCCAUGGAAAAAGCAAGGAACCUUCCCGCUAGCCAUGAUUAGCUGAGAUAAUGGAUGGGCUGGACAUACCCAGAGAUGAGUUCAGAUUGCUCUGCCAUGUAGCACUCUUCUGUCUAUAACAAUCCUGUCUAACACAGGGUUUUUGAAAGAUAACACGAAGAACUGCAAAAAUGUUGCUAAUGCUCUCCACUUUCUGGAGGACUGAGAUUUGAAAUUAGUGGAAUGCCCGAUGGAAGCAUUGAGAAAAUUGAGAAAAUUCAGUCGUUUGACUGCAAAUAUGUGGAGGGAGUCGAAAAGAGAACACACAGACGGCUUUUGUAUAAAACCCCUGUCUCCGGAUUACAUCUUUAAACUAAGGGAAACCAUGGUAUCCGUGACAGAGAGGGAGAAGCGUUUAUCCAUGUAUAUGGUUCUCUCCUCAGGAACAAGUGAUGAAGUUCCUGACUGAGAAGGAGGAGGAGGAGGCGUGGAAGGACUUCUUUGACUCUCAUCUCCAGGAGAAGCUCUGUGAGGAGAGAAGAUGGACGGAGAAGAAGUUCAGCAACCGGAAGAGGGAGGUGGAGAGCUGGAUCGUUGAGAUACAGCAGGAGUGGAGAUGGAGGGAGAAGGCUCAGAGGGACAUGGUGUUCAAGCUGCUGAUUAUGGACCUUCCUCAGAGGAGGAGAGUCAUUGAGAACCUCCGAGAGACGGACGACCCCGCCAGCGAUCAGCUGGAGAGAGAGAUGGACGGAGAGGACAGGAGGACGGAAAACAUUGGGAUGAUAAAGAGGAGUGAAGAGGGAGAUGGAAGGAGAGGAAAAGAGGUGGAGGAGAUGAAUGAGGGGUGCCGCCGCUGCCAAGGGGACGGAGCGAGAGGGAAGGAGAGAAACCAGAGCCGUGAAAGCAGACGAGGAGAAAACACGGCAUGACAUUCGAAGAGAGGAAGAAAAGAGGAAAAUCGAGGAGGGGGACAAGAAGGACGAGAUACUGAGUGUGUGAGAUUCGGUGAGAGAGAAGAGAAGGGACAGAGAGAGGAGGAGAGGAAGAGUCGAGAAACUGGGAUUGAUGGUAACAUUGAAAGUGAGGCAGUUGGUUUGAUGGAAGACAACAGAACGAUGCCUGAAGACGGUGUCGGACGGAUUGAGACAGAAAAGGAAAGGAGGAGUGAGAAGGCUGUGAGGGCAGAGGAAAAGGAGGCGUCUGAGGAGAGGGAAAUAAAGUUGGAGAAGAAGAGGAAAAUAGAGGCUAAGCGAGUGAUAGAGGAGGAGGAGAAGAAGUCUGAGGGUGAACAGAGUGAGAAAAAGACAAACGAGACAAAGCAAGAAAAGCAGACUUCCACAGAGACAGAACUGAGUGACUGGGAUGAGGACAGUGAGGAGGAAGAGAUUGGGGCGGUGAAAUUGGAGAUGAAACAGAAGAGCGAGGUCGUGAAGAAGAGGUCUGAGGGUGAACAGAGUGAGAAAAAGACAAAAGAGACAAAGCAAGAAAAGCAGACUUCAACAGAGACAGAACUGAGUGACUGGGAUGAGGACAGUGAGGAGGAAGAGAUUGUGUCGGGGAAAUUGACGAAGAAGAAACAGAAAGAGCUGGAAGAGAGGAAGAAGGAGGAGGAAAGGGUGAGAAAGGAGGAGAAGAAGAAGGAAGAAGAGCGCCUGAUGAAUAGGGAGGAGGACAAGAGGAAAGAGGAGGAGAAGAAGCUACUAGAACAGGUGAGCCUGAAAGUCCUGCAGGAAUCCUGGAAGAAGGCUAAAGGGGAGGACAGGAAGAGAUCUGAGGCACCCAAAAUGGAAGCAGAACAGCAGCGCCAGUGGGCAGUUUUUUUCAGUGAUUUGAGGGAGGAGGAGGAGGAGAACAGGAGGAAGGUGUUCGCUGUCCAGGGGGGAAACCAGAUGUUUCAUAAAAAUCAAGUUGUCAAGAGGACAACACACCAGGACCCAGGAAAUGAGUCAGCAAUAUCGGUGAGUUCAUCUGAGGACACUGGCUCUGAGUGGGAGCGGCAGUGGGAGGAAGAGAAGAGGAGGGAGAAGGAGAGGAAGGAGGAGGAGGAGAAGAGGAAGAGACUGGAAGAUAAGAAGAGGGAGGAGAUGGCGAAGGAACGGGAGGAGCAGAAGAAUAGAGAGGCGGAGGCGAAGUGGCAGGCACGUCUGGUUCCGAAGAAAAAGAAAGGUGUAUUUAAGUCAUUCUUCAACAUUUUCAUGUAAAUGAAAACAUGACAUAUUUUCAUCAUUUGAAUCAAGCGUUUAUCAAAUGGAAUAAAAAC
rnacentral:lncRNA from 1 species